UUGAAAGGGAAACGAUUGAAGUCAGUCAUGCUGGUGGGAAUCAACUUAGGGGAAACUCUGGGUGCACUUCUUCGCUUGGCAGGUCAACGUCGAUUUUGAAUGUCAUAAAAUAAUUGGGGAAGGUAGCUCCUUCGGGAGUGUUAUAGCCCUUGAUAGACGUGAUGUUUGAGGUCGAGGAUUGCAACGGAUACCCUUUGGGGCUAGCUGCCUGAUCUCUAAUUGGUGUUGGGUUACGGAUAGCAUGCUGACCGUGAUCUAAUUACUGGUUAAAAGGUUAGAGUAUGCAUAAAUUCGUUAAGGAUGUUGACGUA
rnacentral:rRNA from 1 species